rnacentral:rRNA from 1 species
UUGGAGGGCAAGUCUGGUGCCAGCAGCCGCGGUAAUUCCAGCUCCAAUAGCGUAUAUUAAAGUUGUUGCAGUUAAAAAGCUCGUAGUUGAAUUUCGGGGUUCUUCCGUUGGUCAGGCUAACAAGUCUGUACUAACGUGUAGAAUUCCUACCUUCUGGGGAACCAUCAUGUUAUUAAUUUAGCGUGGUGGGAAACCAGGACCUUUACCUUGAAAAAAUUAGAGUGUUCAAAGCAGGCUUACGUCUGAAUACAUUAGCAUGGAAUAAUAAAAUAGGACGGUGGUCCUGUUUUGUUGGUUUCUGAAUCACCGUAAUGAUUAAUAGGGAUAGUUGGGGGCAUUAGUAUUCAAUUGUCAGAGGUGAAAUUCUUGGAUUUAUUGAAGACUAACUUCUGCGAAAGCAUUUGCCAAGGAUGUUUUCAUUAAUCAAGAACGAAAGUUAGGGGAUCGAAGACGAUCAGAUACCGUCGUAGUCUUAACCAUAAACUAUGCCGACUAGGGAUCGGACGAUGUUAAAUUUUAUUGACUCGUUCGGCGCCUUACGGGAAAC